UUGGGAUGAGCUUAAUUGUAUUUGAUAAAAAGGUUCAAGUUUGGGGUUGUUGGGGGAAAGUUGAAAAAGCAAGUGAAAAGCAUUGAGCUCAAAUGUUGUGAAAAGAAAAAUUCAUGAGAAAAAGAAAAGAAAAGAAGAAAAGCAUGAAGAAGAGCUCAAUGCAAAAGAAAAAGAAAAGGGAAAAGUUGGGAAUGAGAGAGAUUGGUGAGGAANNN
rnacentral:lncRNA from 1 species